rnacentral:rRNA from 1 species
GAUGAACGCUGGCGGCGUGCCUAACACAUGCAAGUCGAACGGAGAUUACGGACGGAAGUUUUCGGCUGGAAGCCUGUAAUUCUUAGUGGCGGACGGGUGAGUAACGCGUGGGCAACCUGCCCCAUACAGGGGGAUAGCAGCUGGAAACGGCUGGUAAGACCGCAUAAGUCGGUUAAAUCGCAUGAUUUGAGCGGGAAAUUGGCCAUCCGGUAUAGGAUGGUCCCGCGUCCGAUUAGCCAGGUGGCAGGGUUAAAGCCUACCAAAGCGACGAUCGGUAGCCGAGCGGAGAGGGCGGCAGACUACAUUGGGAAUGAGACACGGACCACACUCCGACGGGAGGGAGCAGUGGGUGGUAUUGCACGAUGGAGCCAACUCUGAUGCCGCGGCGCGGGGUGAGUGAAGCAGUAGGUCGGUAUGUGAAGCUCUAUGAGCAGAGGAGAUGAUGACGGUACCUGACUAAGAAGCCCCGGCUAACUACGUG